ACUGGUGGUCUCAGCAAUCCUGAUGAAGAUGCGUGUCCUAGCCAUCUUCGGCCUCGACGUGGCGACAAUGACACGAGGAUGUUUAUCCCUUUUCGAAGGCAUUACCAUGGAAGAAACCGACUUAGUUGUUGGUGUUAAUUUCACAUCUUGAAAUGAUUCUAAUGUAGUUGUUCUUGUUUUGUAAUCUACUUGUUGAUGUAUUUGAC
rnacentral:lncRNA from 1 species